rnacentral:rRNA from 1 species
GAUGAACGCCGGCGGUGUGCCUAAUACAUGCAAGUCGUACGCACUGGCCCAACUGAUUGAUGGUGCUUGCACCUGAUUGAUGAUGGAUCACCAGUGAGUGGCGGACGGGUGAGUAACACGUAGGUAACCUGCCCCGGAGCGGGGGAUAACAUUUGGAAACAGAUGCUAAUACCGCAUAACAAUAAAAGCCGCAUGGCUUUUAUUUGAAAGAUGGCUUUGGCUAUCACUCUGGGAUGGACCUGCGGUGCAUUAGCUAGUUGGUAAGGUAACGGCUUACCAAGGCGAUGAUGCAUAGCCGACCUGAGAGGGUGACCGGCCACACUGGGACUGAGACACGGCCCAG